CAAACAGACUCACAAAUCACUUUCGACAUACUUUCACUGUGUCUGCGAAGAGUUAUUCGAGACUCAGGUUGAAGGUCCCAGGACUCAAGGACAGACUUGGCAGAAGGCCCUCGUGAUAGAGUAUACAGCAACACCCAGAACUACGCAAGCUGUUCCCCUCAAGGGCGAUCGGGGACCCUGACUUCCAGGGAACGGAGGUGGGUGGACACAGCCCCAGGGCCCCCAUCCUGGCCUGGAGAGAUGAUUCCAGACUCUGAGUAUCUGUGGCAAGCCAGCUCUGUGCCGUGAUCUCAUGAUGUGCCUCCUUGGAUCUGCUGCUGCUCACAAAGGAGCCCUCUUUGUCCCCGGGUCGUAGCCAGGUGAGGAGCAGGCUGGGUCCCCAGGCUGGCGUCUACCUGGCUCUCCCUCCAGGGCUACGGGGUCCCCAGGCUUCCCUCCCCACUAAACAGAAAACAGCGCACGUCUGUCAUGGGUCCGGGAGACCAUCAGGUUAAAUGCAGGCUCCUGAGCGCUGUCCACCUGAACGGACCACAGCGGCGUGGGGGAGAGAGGAGGCCAGGCCGCCUCACCCGAGAACAUGCCGCCAGGCCCCUCCUGACCUCGCUGAGAGGGAGGAAGAUGAGGACCUUCAGCGCAGGCCCAGUCCUCGGGCGCAGGGGCCAGGCCAGGACCAGCCGGGACCGGCAGGGACCAGCCAACGGAGGCAUCUCAGAAGGGCAGCCGCUAGACUGAUGCCAUGUGGGCCCCUCGAUUUUGACCACAGGGGGAAUAUUUACAGAAAUGGAUGAACGCUGAAAUCCAGGGUGUGUGUGCAUGUGUGUGUGUGAGUGUGUGCGUGUGCGUGUGUGUGUGAGUGUGUACAUGCAUGUGUGUGAGUAUGUGCACGGGGGCUGGGGUGCCCCUGUUGACUCUGACCAGCCCCCACUGCAGCCAAGGAAGCCGAGACUGCAGUCCUGCCGGUCGUGGAAGCCCCUUCGCUCUGACUUCGCUCGGACCACCCUCUGCUCCAGCCCCUCCUGACUCUGGAGGUUCUUCCAUUCAUCUGGCGGGCACCGGCCGGGACCAACAAGGCCAGCUGACGCCUCCGCGAGGCACAGGUUUCCUCUGAAGAAGCAGGCGGCCAGAAGAGCAGGUCCCAGGAGCCAGGCUGGCAAGAGCUGGGGAGUGUCUUUCCAUAACUGGAAGACUGAUGAGCUGUGAGGAAUACCAUGCAGCUACAUGCACGGCUCCCGUGAUGGCAGACUCACACAGAGAGAGGACCCCACAUGCCCGCUGAUGGUAACCCUUAUGUAACAGAGAGACCAGAAGGCCGGGGAGCUGCCGUCAGGGGCUGUCAGCUCCACAGUAAAGCACACUUGACCUUCUCCAGAUUUUGCAGGAAUUCUCCUUUUCGGUGGAGUGAGACAAGAUCAAUACAGUGACUUAUCCAAGUUAAAUUAAUUAGUGGCAGAAAAAAACUGAAAUAACCUCCCCCACAAUUUAUCUUCCUCGCAAUUUCCUUCUGUAUGUGGACUCUGGGAUAACUACAGUGCUUAUGAGAAAAACACACAGAGAAGAAAAAUACAUUCAAGAGACCAAGUGUUUGCAGGGCAGCAGAAUGAAAGCAAUUCUUGAACGAUACUCCUACUGUGCAUAGGACGUGCGACAGGAUUGUGCAAAUGAUGGUCCCGUCAGCAGCUGGCCUAUUCGGUCCUCUACACCUCACUUUCAAGUCCUAUUUCUUGCCGGCCAGCUCUCUGCCUCCAAGCAUAGCAGGAUGCUUCCCUGUCCCCCCUGGCCCCUGGGGGUCCUACAUGCGAGGAAGAGGGACGCUUGCCCUGAGCCCCGCCGAGAGCAGUGCAAGACCGGCCCCGGAUCACACCUGCCACAGCCCAGCCCAGGACCGCAGGUACCACGGAGAGGGUCCGUGGACAGAGUUCUGACAAGAUGUGCAAAUCCAGUCUGCUGACUCAGGGCCCAUUUCAGUCACAUCCGACCCAGACUGAUUCAGAAAGACAGGCUCGGAGAGAGCGAGGCCUCUUCCUGACGGUCUGAGCAUCCAGUGUGCAGACCGCAGCGUAUGAAAUCUGGGAUCUGCAUUAGCCUCAGCCACUCGCUAUGCCCCGCCCACUCGCUAUACCCGGCCCACUCGCUGUACCCCGCCCACCCGCUAUGCCCCGCCCACCCGCUAUGCCCCGCCCACCAAUGGCUUUGCCCCCUUUUCUCAUUAAAGUGUGUCCCAGCCCACCGUAUAAUUCUGUGCAUUCACCUAGAGCACAGAAGUCUCAAGAAAUGAAGAAAAAGCAAAAUAAAGAAAAGAAAAUGCAUGCAAAGAUCUUUUGAGCAAAAGACUGUUAAUAAGCAUUAAUGGCUAACAUGUCUAUGUAAUCACUCUUUCUUUUGAACUAAACUUUUUAUUGAAACAACGAUAAGGAAUUCUGUUAUACGAGGUAAGACAUCUCCAUUAAUGUUUACUGGGACUGCCCGUGCAAUUGUAAUCACUUUAUCCUGCACUUUACACUUGCCCUCUUGCUCCUUCUUCCAGCUUGCUUUGCGAUGGGGAGUUUGUUGUUCUAGACACUCCUGACAAAUCACCACGUCCCCUUGUUGGCCUCAGUUGCUUGAAGCACCACAUUUAUACCCAUUUCCCACCUUGAGAGGUUCACCCUCUGUGUCUUUGAUUCCCCAGCUUCAUCUGAAGCUCUUAUUUAUUUUAAAUGUAUUUUCUACUUGCACUGAUACCCUAAAGUAUCCAUUCUUUCCUAAUAUACUAGAUGUGUCUCAUAAGCUGUGAAAAAGUUUUAUAUUGGACUACCUUGACUGAGGGGA